rnacentral:lncRNA from 1 species
GCAAGAUCAAAUAAAUGGUCAACCCUGAACACAUGCAUACGAGUGACACGGGCUGAGUGCUGUGGGAACCUUUCUGGAAUAAGCACUCCAUUGCUGAAAAUGGAGGAGACAAGAUGCCACCAGCGGACUGAAGCCAGGACAGCUCCUGAAAGGCUUCAAUCCCAGGUCCAGCUUCCAUUCUCAGUUUGUGCUCUAACACCACAAAGCAGGGCAGUUUUCACUGGUGUUUAUGGCCGGUACCAGGUUGCUAAGGGCAACAACCCAUUGUUUCAGGUAUUCCUCAUGGUCAUUCUGUCCCAGACAGCCAGUGAGGUCACACUUGGACAAUAGUGCAGGCAGGGCUUCCAGUAAAUCACGAAAGAAAUCACUCUACCAGUACCUCAUAAUUGCUCUUUUCUUCCUUACUAUGCUUCAUUAGCAGGCAUCUGGUCACAGAGAAGGAACUAAUCUGUGAGGCGAUUACAGCUAUGUAUGAGCUCUGUCCAACACAAUCAGCACCUCAGGGCUGGGAAGAUGGCGACUGCAUUGCUGCCACGCUGCCAAGCUGAGUCCCAUCUGCAGGUCCACAGGGUAGAAAGAAAGACUGACUCCCACAAGCUGUCCUCUCACCUCUUUGGC